rnacentral:rRNA from 1 species
GUGGGGAAUAUUGGACAAUGGGCGAAAGCCUGAUCCAGCCAUGCCGCGUGUGUGAAGAAGGUCUUCGGAUUGUAAAGCACUUUAAGUUGGGAGGAAGGGCAGUAAGUUAAUACCUUGCUGUUUUGACGUUACCGACAGAAUAAGCACCGGCUAACUUCGUGCCAGCAGCCGCGGUAAUACGAAGGGUGCAAGCGUUAAUCGGAAUUACUGGGCGUAAAGCGCGCGUAGGUGGUUUUGUAAGUUGGAGGUGAAAUCCCCGGGCUCAACCUGGGAACUGCCUCCAAAACUGCAUGACUAUAGUACGGUAGAGGGUAGUGGAAUUUCCUGUGUAGCGGUGAAAUGCGUAGAUAUAGGAAGGAACACCAGUGGCGAAGGCGACUACCUGGACUGAUACUGACACUGAGGUGCGAAAGCGUGGGGAGCAAACAGGAUUAGAAACCCGGGUAGUCC